rnacentral:lncRNA from 1 species
GCACCUGGCCCAUGGCUUGGGUUCCUGUGCAACCCUGGGUCGAGUUGGACUCUCCUCUUGGGGCUGGGACCAACAUGGACCGGUGUACUGCAUGUGGAUACCCCAGGUCUGAUACCACCUGGUGACCUCCUGUGGAGCACCUAGGUACUCCCUUUUGUCCUGCUUGGUUGUUCCUCGGUAGGCACCCCUACCCCCCACCCCUGGCCCCCUCAUAAUGCACAUCAGGCUUGUGUCCCUUCACAUUGGGGGCCAGCCUCGCUCUCCACAGGAGCCACCCUGGAGGAGGCCUAUUAGUAGGAGUUCCUAGGCAAGGAUCUAGUGACCACUAGAGACUUUGUGGAUGCCAGUGUCUGCUUAUGUCAAUGUUGGAGUCCUGCCCUGAGUGCCCCUGGCCAGACAUUCUGGGACCUGGGUGGCCCCUAUGGGGUGGGCUUUGGGAAUGUAGGGACAGCUGUGGGUGUGGCAGAGCCCCAGGCUAACCCUGCCCAUCCUCCUCCCUCCUCCCAGCUGAGGAAGGGUGGGGCCUGCAACUGAGCUUCUGGACACCUCAAGGUCCCUCCUGACCCUGACCCCAUGGCAUCAAGCACCAUGGCCAGGGAAACUUCCAGAUAUUUGAGCAGCUUUCUCUGGUCUCAGCUGUUGGGCUCAUGGGGUGCAUUCUCUUUGCAGAUGCUCAGAGGUGGAAACAGAUCCGGAAGGCCAGGAGCCCCAUGGGGCACUGGCUUCCCAGGAUGCACCCACCCCAGGGUAUGGUUGUUGGGGUGGAUACCUGUAUUAGCUCCUGGCCCUGAAUGGGCAACACUGAGUGGGAAUGAGCAUCUGUUCUCUCUCUCAUACUGAGGAACCAGGUGUGGGGCUCAGAAGUUGUGGCUGGGGGUGGUCCCCUGCCUGGCGUCCCCCUCAGGCAUUUUCUUGCACCAUAAACACUGACCCCAGUGAUGUUCCUGGCUCAUGUCAUAUCCACCCCUGCCUGGCUGUGGGGCUGGGCUCCUCCCAGCUGGCCUUCAGCUCAGCAGGAAAAGCCAAUGGUGGGUUUUGCAUCAAUCCAAGGAGCUGAUUUCUGGCCUCUAAGUGGAUGGUUUCAUGAAUCAAUAAUGUUCAUAAAAAGUCCAUACUUCAAUAUUUUAGUUUCUAACCCACUGAGGGUAUUGAGCAACUGGUGAGAAUGCAUCUCAGUGAGUGGAUGCCAGCAUCUGCAUCUGUGCACUGUGUCCUGCAGCUGUGGUGACUGGCUUGGGGGCUGCGCCCAGAGACCAGCUGCUGUACCCAUCUUCCUGCACUGCUCUGGAAUAGUGACCUUCUCCAUGUGGUCUUUCUCCAAGGUUCCUGUAGGCAGGAGUGUCCUCGGCAGUGUUAGGAGUUCUCCUGGGCUCAGGAUGAACACUGUUUUGCACAUGAAUUGGUGUGGGAUCUGCUGGUUGCAGCCUGUUACCAUCCAGCAUCUUUGGAGAUACGGCAGAUUUGCUGCAGUUUACACAUGGCAGGUGCUUCAGCCUUCUCCCUGACCCGUACUUGGGCAGUUUGGGGGCUUUGCUGCCUUUGUGAGGAUGGUUUAGAACUCGAUGGGGCUGUUAGAGCUGAGGUUCCUUGGGUGGAGUGCCCCGUGUGUGGGGGGGGCAGGUGGGGACACUGGCAGAUCUGUGGGGCUAUGGAUUGUGGCUGACACCCCCACCCUACUUACAGCCCACUGUGCCACACAGUAGGCACCUGGCUCCCGGCCCAGGUAUGCCCACCUGCACUGUGCACAGGUAGACAGGUCCUGGGAGGGGACUGCAUAGCCCCUGGAGGUGGGCUUUAACCAUUUGAGCAGGAGCUCUGAAGUGCAGGGUGCUGGGGGCACUGCAAAAGGGGAGGCAGAGAUGGCUAGGACAAGGCCAUCUACAGCUCUGGCCUGGUUUGGGUUUCCUUUCCUGGGUUUAAGGGUGUCCUUCCUGGGGUGCAGGCAUGGUCCCUCGUUGGGGGAGUUAACAGGGGUGCCGCAUGGGGAAGACAUGGGCAGGUGUAGCCUGAGGAAUGGUGAUGGUCCGGGGAGUGUCCUCUGGGUGAGGGUAUGGAGGAAUCCUGGGGGCCUGGGGGAGUGUGGUGAAAUGGCCAGAGUGGACAGGUUGGGCAUUAGCACAAUGUUUGGGGAUGUGGAAUGAAGACGGGCAGAGGGCAGGUGACAGAUGUUGCUGGGGGAACAGAAGAGGCAGGAAAUGAGAGUGGCUGGUGACCUUGGCCAGGGGCUCCCUGGAGUGGUAAGGGUGUCGAGGAUUGCCCUUCAGUGGGUAUUGGUCCCUGGGGGAGCAGACUUCUCCUUCACAGGAGGCUUGCCUAUGGGGUCCAACACUGCAGGGGGCAGUAUUGGAGACGGGGCCUACACCUGCUCAGGCCACUCUGUCUGGUUCCCUGUCCCCACCUUUAUCUGGGUGUUGUCAGGUGUUUUCAUGUGUGACUUCACAUGUGACUCGAGUGGCCGGGUUCGUGUUCCUCCACUCCAGACCUGGUUCCAUCAUGUGGUAACUGUCUUUCAUGUUGCGAGGAUUCCCAGGUGAGUUCCAGAGUAGGCUGAUUUUCCGUCACCUGAAACUUACAUGAGAUUUCAAUUUCUUUACGUUUUCCUUUUUUCUGUAUUUAUUGAGGCAGUCAUGUGGUUUUGUCCUUUAUUAUGGUGGUGUGUUACAUCAAUUCAAUUUUGGAGCUAAAGCAACCUUGCAUUCCUGGGAUAAAUGUUUUUUGGUCAUGGGCACAACUCCUUCUUGUAGACUGCUGAAUUCUGUGUGCUGGUGUCUUGUUGGGGGUACUUGGGUCUGUCCUUGAGGGUCUGUGGCAUGCGUGUUCCUUGUGAUGUCUUUAUCUGGCUUUGGUGUCAGGCUAAUACUGAACUCAUAAGAUGGAUUGGGAAGUGUAUUAUUUUCUUUUAUUUUGGGAAGUUUUGAAGGGUCACUGUCAUUCUCAUUCAAGUGUUUGAUUGUGCAGCUGGAUCUUUUCUGCCUGGGGAUUUUUUAAAAUUACUGUCAGUCUCUUUACUUGCUGUAGGUCUAUGCGUCCUUUCCACUUCUUGAGUCAGUUUUGUUAGUGAUAGUUUGUCCUUUUCAUCUAGACGGUCUCAUUCAUUGGUAUACAGUUGUUCCUAGUAUUCUCUCUCUCUCUCUCUCUGGAUGCUGGGGAUUGAAC